AAAUUGUUGACCUGAGAUGGGGAAGCAUUGGAAGAAGAGUGCACUUACUUCCAGACGUACCUACCUACUUUCAUCAGGAAAUUGUUAUAGAAAUAUACUUCCUGCUUUGCCAUGGACAGGAAUCUUACAAUUAGGAAACAGGAUCCUUACCAGUAACUUCGUGAUGACUGGUGGAUAUUCUUUGAAGAAAUCAGUGGGUGAGCCUACUGCAUAGGGUCCUCCCAGAGCCGGCUCACCAUGAGGCAUGACAAGGUCCUGGCACUUUGAACGGUUUCCAGCUGUUCUCCUUGGUCUUGUGGUGACAAUGUCUGACAGAAAGAAUUACCCAGAUCUUACCUUGCACAGAUCUUGGGCCUUGCCGAUGGGUUCUGGCAUUUCCUGCUCAGGCUCAGACUGAACUAAGCCUGAGCUGAGGCUGAGAAAAUCUGGCCAUCAGGUUCUGGAGAUCUUCAUCUUCAAUGCACCCUUGGAACACUGUAUCAGGUGCUAGACACAGUCCGUGACCCCCAAUCCUUUGUGAGCUUCUCAGUGGUUGGUUGUUGUGAGCUGAUGCUUUGGGUCCUGCCGGUUUCCAUGUACUUCCCAGUCUAAUGUCUCUGAAGUUAGCAUGUUCAGCAAAGCACAUAAAUGGCCUUGGACUUCACUGAAGUAUGAAAAACUUCAGUCUAGAUUUCUGCAAUGCUGCUCGAGUGUUGCUUUACCCCUGUGUCUCCACCCCAGUCAUCAGCCAAAAAUUACGUGGGAAACAGGAUCCUGACAUCAAGGUAGAGUGUCUGGUGAUUCCUUUAUUAUUUGGGGUGUGCUAGGGCUUUGAUCAUGAAGCCUCAUAGGUUUGAAAUGCCAAGAAAGAAAGAGAACAUGCUAUGUUCAAAAGGUUGCAGAGUUUCCAUAAUAUCUGCUCUCUGGAGCUGUGUGGAAAUCCUGCUAAGCCACCCGAAUGCUUUCCAGAUCUUAUGUUGCAUGGAAACAUCCUCAAGGCUGUAAUGCAGGAUUUGGCUUAUGGCCAAAAUUAUUUCCAAUAAUAAUAAGCUGAUUGAUUACUGCCAUCAAGAAAUGGCAAAGAAAAAUAUAUUUCAACUAUUUAAGUAAUGAAAGGAAAGAAAAUGAAUAAGCCUUUCCGUUCAGGGAUCAAAAUAUGGGUUAGGACAGUCCUGAAAACUCAAGUGUGGAAAAUUCUAGGUUCAGACACUGAAAAUAUAUUUAAAAAAUCUGAA
rnacentral:lncRNA from 1 species